UCUGGCUAAUCUGAAUCUCAUUCUUGACAAGAGUGUUGAAAAUAGAACUUCAUUCUCCAGCAGCUUGACAGUGAAGCAGACAUCUGGUGUUCUUUUACUACUUUAUGCUUUUCAAUAAACUGUCAAAGACUGCAAGAUAUUCCUUAACAAAAACAGCCCUUAUGAAAAGCAGAAUCUUCCAAAGUCAAAUGAUCCCAUGGGUCCCUGGUUUGCUAAAUUCUGAUAUCAUGGCCAUCAAAUCCCUCGUCUGUCUGCUUUUUUCUUUCUUCUACCUCCCUUCUUCUGCAUCUUUCCCAGUUGCCUCAGCAAAGAGUAGUUGUACUUAUGCUUCAAGAGUACCCCUGAUUUUCCCAGAACAGAGCUGAUCUUCUGAGAAUGAAUGGACAUAGUACUGUAUUACUUGAGUCUCUCCCUGGAAAAUCUUAACACCCAUGCAUACAUUGAACUUCAAAUGCCAAAAAAAACCCCAAAACAAACAGGUAAAAAUCCCCUCACCACAGAAAGGCUUUAUUUUUUGUUGUUUCCCUACAAUAAUUGGUUUCCAAUCUUUUCUGAAUCAGUAUUAAAUUACAGUUCACCCUCCAAAAAUACUCUUGCUUGAAAUGUCCUGUCCCUCAUUCCACAAUUUGUAAUACUCAAAUUAUAAACAACAACCAACAAAAUAAAAAAACACUCCUCACCCCUGUCCUCCAUGAAACAAAGUGUCUUUAUAACACUGAAACUUGUAUUGCUGUUGCCAAGGACAAACACAGGUUUCUGCUAAUUAGAAGCUGUUAUGAAUCCUGUCUCAGAAGCGCCUCUGGAAGAGGCUUGAUUGCUCUCUGGAAUGACCCAUGGCUCCCAGUGUUUUGGGCCUGGCAGAGUGCCUUCCCUGUUACUCAAUAAUCACCAGGCAUUUCUUCAUGCCCUGGCCCCUGUGAAGAACAUGCUGUUAUUCUCUGAUGCACAGGAGUUGCAUAUUACAGCACUGUUAAGGUGCUGAGGUUUAUAUUUUCACCGAGUAUUUGGGUGGAGAAUGCUUUGUUGUUAUUCAGUCAUCUUGAAAUCACUCUUAAUUCAUGUCAAGUUAACCAAAGAUGCAAAUAAAAGCAUUCAUUCACUGAAACCAAGGAGACCAUGCAGCCUAAAAGCCUUAGAAAAAACAGAGGUGAAGAAAAGAGAGGAAGAGCACACUUGAUCUGUUUGAAGUUUGGGACAGCUGAGGGAGAGCAUUGCGUAGGCAGAGUGACCACACUCGGUGGGAACAUGUCUGGAUUGCCACCAGUCUCAUUACUAAGAUGCUUCAUUUUCUGAAGAUCCUCCUGAGAAUCAAAACACAAGAAGUUGACCUUAGCACCUGCACCCAACCACAGCCUUGGAAAUAUGUGUCAUUAUAUAAUCAACAUGAGCAAGCCAUUUAGUCAAAAUUGGGAACACCCAAAGAAGCUGUGCACACUCAGAUGGAAAGACAAAGAGCACGGGUAUUGGUACAUGUGAUGAUUCAGAUAUUAUAAAAAUAGGCUUCACGGAAGUUUCCCAACAAGUCAUGUCUCACCUUAGCAAGAAGCAGAAUCUUCUUGCUAACACAAGAAUUACCAUCUACCCAAAUACAGCCAGAAGAGUCCUAUGGGUACAGACCAGAAUUAUCAGGAUUCAAGUCAUCACUACAGUGAGCUCCUGGAAACAGUCUCUCUCUUGUAAAGGACAUGAAAUGCAUUGUGAUACUUAAAGAAGAUCAUAAGGUGUACAGUCCACAUGUGUAUGAUUUGAAGUGAUUUUACUGUGAAUUAAUUAAAACAUUUUCAAUAGAUCCCCAAGAAACUGUUGUCUCUCAUGAACAUUUUUCUUAUGUCUGUGUU